rnacentral:lncRNA from 1 species
GAUGGCUUCUCAUCUUUUUGUUCUUCAAUCAAAGGUUCUUUGUCCAUUUUCUCCACACCUUCAAUUUUAACAUCUUGCCCUCCAAGCGACCGCUCAUCCUCCCCUUCCAAGUAUUCACCAACAUCUUCUUCAUACCCCUUCUCUUUAAAACUUUCAUCUUUGUAAAGUUUUUCUUCCCUGAGCUCUUCAUGCACCUCUACGUGUUGCUCUUUCUUUCCAUCCUCCCCAAAUUCAGUUCUCAUUUCAACUUCUUUUGGAUCAGCUAUUUGCUUUUCCAACUCUUCUUCCGGAAGAAAUUCUCCACCAAACUCUGACUCUUCUUUUUCUGCUUUAUCCAAAAGCCCAGUUUCAAUCUCCAACUCCGGAGAUGAUGCUGGCAUUGGCAAGAAUCUUAUUCAUGAGCUUCUCA